rfam:Oryza sativa (indica cultivar-group) chromosome 3, whole genome shotgun sequence.
AAUAAGUGUAGCUAUGAUUUUUCGUGUCUAAUUUUGACCUUUCGUCUUAUUUGAAAAUUUUUUGAAAAAAAUUAAAAAUAUAAGUCACGAGUAAAGUACUAUUUAUAUUUUAUCAUCUCAUAACAAUAAAAAUGCUAAUUAUAAAAAAAUUUCAAAUAAUACGGACGAUCAAAGUUGGGCGUGGAAACUCAUGGCUACACUUAUU